rnacentral:lncRNA from 1 species
CCGGUCUCUUGCUUUCCAACUAAGCAACGAUGCAUCGAUAUAAAAUUAUUAAAAGAAACGCAAAAUAAAAUUUAGAUAAAAACCUUUUUCUCAGGCGAAAUUUAGAGAAAAACCUUACCGAUUCACAAAUUUUAUCAAAUCCACAACGAUCAUCAAUUCAUCAUCAUCAGCUCAUCACAGAGCUUUUCUGUCCAAAUAAGUUUUCAUUAUCGUCUGCAGCUGUUAUCNAGAUCUGGUUGUUGCAGGAGGUGACCUCUAUUGUUGUGGGUGAUGGAGUGUCGAGUGUAAAAGAUUUUGUAAGAAUUUUUUGAGGUUUGAGGUGCCUUGUUGUAUUAAUUUUGGGUUACUGUAAAAUCACCAUUCAUCUUCAGCAUCAAUGGAUCUGCUGAAAACAGAAGUAGGGAUUAAUUAUGAUCAUCGUGUAUUUAAAAUAAAAUCAGUUAAUGAUCAUCCCAAUAUCGUCUUUUGUUUCAACAGAUUCAUGCAGCUUGGUGGCAUCAUCUUGAUUGAUAUUGGUAAAAAAAAACAAUAAUGAAAGUUAGCAUUGUUGUUACUAUAAUGCAGAAGGUUAUUGCAAUGUAAAUGACUUAGGUUUCCGAGUUUAAGACAAUUAAUUUAAUUUUAUUAUUUGUUCAUUUCCAGAUGCAAUAUCCACAGAGAAAGGAAACAAUGAAAGAAAUGAAUAUUUGGAGAUAAAAAAAAAAUGGAGAUAUAGGAUACGGGCGUCUCUCAAUUUUCCAAGCCGACAUGAAAUUGGAGAUAAUCUAUCUAUCAUAAAACAUUAUACAAUAGUUAAUCAUUAAAGAAGAAACAAUAAAAGUAUAAAACUUUAUUGUUGCUCUCCAUUUUAUAACAGUAUUCAUAUAUGGACCAAAUCUAUAUAAUCUAUACUAAUAUUAAAAGAGUUUUUUUCCUCCAUUUUUUCUCUUUUAUUCUUUCUCUUCUUCCGCUAAUUUUUUCACAAUUUUUUAUAUAAUUUAAUUACUUUUUAAAUAUCAUCAAAUCUGAUUAAUAAAGAAAAAUUUAGCAUGCAUCUUAAAUUUUAGUUUGUGAUAAAAUAUUUAAUAUGACAUAAAAAUUAUUAAAAGUGAAUUUAAAACGAAUAAGUUAUGAAAACUUUAAAAUAUUUUAUUUUCUCUUUCUUCGUUAAAUUUUUACAACUUUUAAUUUAUAUUUGUGUAUAAAAAUAUUUAUUUAUUUAUUAUGACACGUAAUACUCUAUAAUAAUAAUAUGUAAUUAAUUUUCUUUAUUAUUUGUUCAUUUCUUUAUCAUUAUCUUCAAAAAAGAAGAAGAAAACAAUGAAAUAAAUCAAUAUUUUUUAAAAAUAGGAUACGUGCGUCUCUCAAUUUUCCAAGACGACAUGAAAUUGGAGAUAAUCUAUCUAUCAUAAAAUAUUAUACAAUAGUUAAUCAUUAAAUAAGAAACAAUAAAAGUAGUAUUGUUGCUCUCCAUUUCAGAACAGUCUUCAUAUAUGGACCAAAUAGAAAAUAAAAAUAAAAAAUAUUCUUAUAAAUCUCACAUUAACUCUCAUAUACACACCCGGUCUCUUGCUUUCCAACUAAGCAACGAUGCAUCGAUAUAAAAUUAUUAAAAGAAACGCAAAAUAAAAUUUAGAUAAAAACCUUUUUUCUCAGGCGAAAUUUAGAGAAAAACCUUACCGAUUCACAAAUUUUAUCAAAUCCACAACGAUCAUCAAUUCAUCAUCAUCAGCUCAUCACAGAGCUUUUCUGUCCAAAUAAGUUUCAUUAUCGUCUGCAGCUGUUAUCCGAUCAAUCGCCGC